rnacentral:rRNA from 1 species
CCUACGGGCGGCAGCAGUGGGGAAUAUUGCACAAUGGGCGCAAGCCUGAUGCAGCCAUGCCGCGUGUGUGAAGAAGGCCUUCGGGUUGUAAAGCACUUUCAGCGGGGAGGAAGGCGUUAAGGUUAAUAACCUUGGCGAUUGACGUUAUCCGCAGAAGAAGCACCGGCUAACUCCGUGCCAGCAGCCGCGGUAAUACGGAGGGUGCAAGCGUUAAUCGGAAUUACUGGGCGUAAAGCGCACGCAGGCGGUCUGUCAAGUCGGAUGUGAAAGCCCCGGGCUCAACCUGGGAACUGCAUUCGAAACUGGCAGGCUAGAGUCUUGUAGAGGGGGGUGGAAUUCCAGGUGUAGCGGUGAAAUGCGUAGAGAUCUGGAGGAAUACCGGUGGCGAAGGCGGCCCCCUGGACAAAGACUGACGCUCAGGUGCGAAAGCGUGGGGAGCAAACAGGAUUAGAUACCCCUGUAGUC